UUUCUUAAGGGCACUUUCCCUGUCUGAAAUAAUUGAAAAAUAAAUUGUUACAUUGGUAUUAUGGUAAUAAAAUUGUUUGAAAAGCCCCAAGGCCCAUUUACUUUUUUUCAAAAAUUGACACUUAGAUGUGGCAAGUGUGUCAAAUGAAGAAACUACCAAAAUGAUAAUAACAUCUAAGGAAUUCUGCUCCAGUAGCCAUUCAACUGAUAUUAUUCAUUGACAAAGCACCUCCUCCUAUUAGAGCAAAGGACCCUCUUGCUUACCUGGAUUCUGGUCUUGAAGAAAUUCUCUUCCUUCCCGCCACAGCUCUUUUCCUUGCUCCAGCUGCAAAAUUAU
rnacentral:lncRNA from 1 species